AGCUUUGCGCAGUGGCAGUAUCGUAGCCAAUGAGGUUUAUCCAAGGUGCGAUUAUUGCUAAUAGAAAACUUUUCCCAAAUAUACUUUGAAAAGAGUUAUCCCCAAGUGUAAUACAGUUUUGAGGGCAACAGUGUUUUUGUCAAAGUCUUUGCCUGGUACAGG
rnacentral:snRNA from 1 species